GACGAACGCUGGCGGCGUGCUUAACACAUGCAAGUCGAACGGAAAGGCCCUGCUUUUGUGGGGUGCUCGAGUGGCGAACGGGUGAGUAACACGUGAGUAACCUGCCCUUGACUUUGGGAUAACUUCAGGAAACUGGGGCUAAUACCGGAUAGGAGCUCCUGCUGCAUGGUGGGGGUUGGAAAGUUUCGGCGGUUGGGGAUGGACUCGCGGCUUAUCAGCUUGUUGGUGGGGUAGUGGCUUACCAAGGCUUUGACGGGUAGCCGGCCUGAGAGGGUGACCGGCCACAUUGGGACGGAGAUACGGCACAGACUCCUACGGGAGGCAGCAGUGGGGAAUAUUGCACAAUGGGCGGAAGCCUGAUGCAGCAACGCCGCGUGCGGGAUGACGGCCUUCGGGUUGUAAACCGCUUUCGCCUGUGACGAAGCGUGAGUGACGGUAAUGGGUAAAGAAGCACCGGCUAACUACGUG
rnacentral:rRNA from 1 species